rnacentral:rRNA from 1 species
UACAGAGGGUGCAAGCGUUAAUCGGAAUUACUGGGCGUAAAGCGCGCGUAGGUGGUUGUGUAAGUUGGAUGUGAAAGCCCCGGGCUUAACCUGGGAACUGCAUUCAAAACUGCACGGCUAGAGUACGGGAGAGGGGGGUAGAAUUCCAGGUGUAGCGGUGAAAUGCGUAGAGAUCUGGAGGAAUACCGAUGGCGAAGGCAAUCCCCUGGGCCUGCACUGACGCUCAUGCACGAAAGCGUGGGGAGCAAACAGG